rnacentral:misc_RNA from 1 species
AAGACUAUAGACCUGCGGAGUACCUGCGGAGGGAUCAUUAUUGAGUUCAUAAAGGUGGGUGGUAAUUCUCUUUUGGAUUACCAGCCUCCUUUCUUCUCUUCACCCUUUGUUAUUAUUUCUUAGUUGCUUUGGUAAUGUCUUUGGAUCUUACCAAGGGACCAUUUUAAACACAUGUUAUCCAAUAAUUAGGAGUCUUCUGUCUGAUUUUUAUAACUUAAUAAGUAAUAAAACUUUUAACAA